ACCCAUAGGUUGAGGAGGUGGUGACCGUGGCAGUGGAGGAGGAGGAUGAGGUAGCCAACACUGUUUUUAUAUAUAUAUUUUAAUUGGGGUAGCCCCCAAAAUAUUGGGACAUAUAAAAAAAGACAACUCUGUUCCACAGAGUAGCUGUUGACAUUAUAGUUGCGCAGGAACUUUGUUGACUCUAGAGAACCUAGGGCAAAUCGCACAUCCCCGUGGCGGCGACUUUGCAUGCGGAUGUCAUCCAUAUCAACUUUUGAUGCCAGUUUCUGCAUCUACCAUGGUGACCACGGGUAACGGAGAAUCAGGGUUCCAUUCUGUACAGGGACCCUGAGAAACGGCUACAACAUGCAAGGAAGGCA